GCAGGUGGUUCCAAAAAUGGAGCGAGUUCCUGUAGAGAAGAAAGGAUGGUGUUUUGGGGGCCCUUUCUGGGCUGAAAACAGAUCCUGGAUCUUGCAUCAGAGGAGACUGGCAUUGCAGAAGUCAAAACACCCUGUGGCUUCAACUACCAAAGCAAAGCUUUUCAAUCAUUUUUAAAAGGUGGAAGUUCCCUGACUCUCAUAUGAUCAUGAUGCAGGAGAGUCUUUUUUCUGCAGUUGCUGAGGGGGAGAGGAUUCACCGUCUGUAUUGUUCAUGGGAUCCCAGUGAUGAUUCAACCUGCUUCCUUGAUCUACAGCUAUGUAUCCUCUUUUUUUUUCUGCCCGAUCCGAGCAGCGUUUCACACUCCUCCUCCUCUCUCACGUUAGCCAGGGAGCUGUUCCUUUUAGCUUAAUGAGUCACAAGCACAUCCACACAUAUAGAUGCCCUGUGUGGGCAGACUGUGCCCCCAUGCUCAGCUGCAGCUACUGCAGCUAUAAAGCCCAUCCGUCUUUGGACUGCGGAAAAGAAAACUCCCCCACAUUGUCCCUAUUCUAAUUGAAAUAUGUUUCAGUUGAAUUGUCUGGAACACGGCGCUAUGAUGAUCUGUAAGGUCUUUCAAUAAAAACAUUGCUUUA